ensembl:lncRNA
GUGGAGUUUCUCAGCUGCAGAGAUAACAUAGCCCAGGGCUCCUUUGGGAUCUGUCUCUGGGAAUCAGCAUGGUUUGGGUGCAUCAUUUAGGGGGAAAAGCAGGAAGCAAGCUGAAUCAAGAGCAACAGUGUUAGAAUCCAUGAUGGGAUGUUCUAGCUGCUCUCUUUCGCUAUGGGAAAGCAAGGUUUAGAGAUGCCGACACCAGCAUACUCUUAAUUCUGAGAGCCUUCUGAAAACCCAGAUGCAGAGCAGUGGUGCUGGUAGCUCGGCCUACAGACUUGCCAUGUGUUUGAUGCAGCUGUGCUCAGAGAGGAAACUUCAGGAGCCAAGGAGUGUGAUUUCUCAAUAACCUGAUGGGCAGCAGGUAAAGCAGGGGGCUGGGACAGGGCUCCUGGGGGCAUCUGAGCGUCUGCAUUGCCUGCCUGUGCUCCUCUUGGAACAAAGGACUGCACUGUGCCCAUCAUGGAGGGGACUUUGUUGAGGUACUGGAGCCCCAGUCAGACAUCAGGGGUCUGUCACACAGCAUCACCCCGGGAAUGAAGUGGCCCCUCGUGCUCAUGGUUGAGCUGCUAUGGGCUGUUUUGGCACUUAGGUAACAAUGUGAUUUCCUGUCUCAUGACAGUUCAGAUAUUAAAGGUCACAUCUGCCUAAUACUUUCAGUCUUAACUAUGGCAAACUUUCCCAGCGCUUCUAAAGCAGACAGUUGUGGUAUGGUUCCCUUCUGAACCAUAUUCAGAAACCAGAGGUUGUUCUGUAGCUCUUUAUCAUUAUUGUUGCUACUACUAGUAGGUCUUGUACAGGGAUUACUCAGAACAGCAGCACAACAACAACUCUGCCCAGAGAAGGAAAGGUCAGGAUCUUCAGGUGCUGCUGCCACAAGCCUGCAGCCCGCUGUUCUGCGUCUCAGCAGCAGAUCUUGGUCAAAGCUGCACCAAAGAACAACUCCAGGGACAGCCCUCUCCUCUCUCCUGCUGUCUGUCCUUACCGUGCCUCGCAGCCUGUGAGGAUGCUGCAGAUGCACUCUGUGUGAACACUCAGGAGAUGAGGGAGCAGGAGAAAGGACACGCACAGAUUGAGGCUAAGGAGAAAAGAAACCCCAUGUGGUAAUUGCUUGCUAGAAAUAAAUGCAAGGGACUGAAUUCUUGGUGGCUCCAUGCAGAUUCACAGCAGCUGAGAAUCUGUCCCUGGAAACUGCAAGGGGUGCUAUGGCUGUGACUGUGUAUGCAAGCUUCAGGUUAUCUGUAUAAUGAGGUAGUCCAAAAAGUUGGAAGCUUUGUGCAAAUAUCUGAGAAUAUCCCCAGGACAGCAGGAGCCUUUGUGCUCGUCCUUAACCAGGUGGUAUUUGCCCGGCUUUCUGGAGCAGCUUGAAGUCCCCUUCAGAACAAAACCACCUUUAACAAACACAAACGUACUUUGUGUUCUCUAUGGAAGCCCAGUGCCCAGGCCAUGUUACUAUGUUACUGAACUCUAGUUUUUGCUGUGCUUCAACACAGUUAAAAGCCUGAAAGCUGAGCCAUUUUAAAGCAUCCCAUAAGACCCUUGAGUCAUGCAAAAUCCUAUCCCGUUUUUCCCUCUGGGUGAAGAGUUAUGAAUGAUAGAAGUGCUUUUAAAUCAUAGAUAAAGAAUGCUGAGUGAUGGGUUAGUAAAAAUAAUUUUAAGAACUCCCUAUUUUCAUCUAGAUUUUAUUUCCCUGGGUGUGAAUUCAACAGGUGGGGCUGAAAUAUCACAGCUUGCCCCCCAAAAGGAGCGGCGUGCAGCUGAAUCCCCGCAAGAGUCACUAUUCCUUUUCUUGCUUUCUUUACUGCUUCAGGCAAAUUAUGAUUGUAAUACUUCUCCGUUCUCUAGCACAGCUCAUUUCCCCACCCUGUACCAGCUCAAUUUCUCUGGCAGGACUGCUGGGAAUGGCGGACCGCUGCUUCCGUCUGCUCCCAAACCUCCUGCUGACAAAACUGCACCUCUGUGAUCCUACCCAACCUGCUUCUGACCCAGCCGGGUAGGCAGGGGGGUCAACGUGGUGUCCUCUGUGCUUGCAUCUACCAGUGCUGCUCUGCCAGCUGCUGACCCAGCACCAUGAGGAUACUCAGAUCCCCUGGAUAUUCUUCUUACUAGAAUAAAGCUACCUGGAACUACUGCUUGGUUCCGGAGGAACUUGAAGCAACUCUCUGCUCAGCUCCCGCUGGUGAAAAAGCAGCCCUAUCCACUGCUCACUGUGAUGGGAAGAGAAGAAGUUGACAGCAACCUUUGGGCAUUCUGCUUCCUCCUCUUUCCCCAUCAGACCUUCCCUUUUGUAGUACAUCUGGAGGGCCACGAACAGCCUUGACAACAUCCCCAGAGGUCUCCUGCUUUCAAAAUGCCACGCGUUGAGCCUAUAUUGUAGUGAGCUGAGAUACUAACUUCAUGUGAGAUGAACUUCACGUGUGUUAACCUGAUGAGCUAGGUCUUGCCAGUGCUGUGAAUAGGUCUGGCUGUAGAAAACGCUUCUGGAGUGAGCAAAAAUUGCUCAUAUUCAGCUAAAUAUUCUGAAAACAGAAAGGCCUGCAGAGGAAGUGAACCUAGCAGCUAUCCAUAUAUUACUCAAACAUGACCACAUGCAUUCCGCUCUGUUUCUCAGCAAACCCCUCUGAAAAGGCUGUGCAUACGUCUUACUUCACAUGCAAGCGUUGACCUUUCCCAAUGAUGUCAGAGGAGAGCAAGCCAUAGGCCUGUUACAGAGCCCUGUGUCUCAUAUGCUUGUCCCAGCCACUGGGUGCUUUGUGAUGGACAUGCAGGGAUCGCAUACAUUUUCUACAGAAAGAGAGACCUGUCACCAUGGUGCUGGGCUCAGAGAGCUGCAGAGCAAGAGCUUCACCGAGCUGUAUGGCUGAAUUGUUCCCUUCUUCAUUGUCCAUUUAAAAAAAUCUAAAUGGAAGAUGGGAAGCUGCCUGCUUGAGGUUUGUGUAUGAAUAAUUAUAGGUACCUGCACUAGCAAGGGACUUUGUGAAAGACGAGAAAAUAGUUGGGCCUCUUCAGGGAAUGUGUGGCAAGCAGGUCAUUUAAAAAUAACUUUUGGAGGCUCUGGGAAGUGGGUGAAAUGAAGUAACAAACAGCUUCUGAAAAAACAGCCGACAAGGGAGCGUUUCAUCUGAUAUCACAGACUGCUAGUUUUCAUUCUGAUCCUGUUGUUGUCUUCUUUAUAUAGCUCAUAGAGUGCCCUUAAGUUGUCUCCAAAGGAUAUUAAUUUUCCACUGGCAUCAGAAAGGCUGCAAUGAUACUUGCACCAAGGUAAGCGACCCCCUCAAGGUUUCUGCACCCACAGCUCCGGACUGGCUGGAAACACAGGCAAUUAAUAAAUCAGAAAAUGAGUGCCUCUCGGCCCUCCUUGCUCCAGGGAAGCCAACAGGAGCUUUGUCAGUAGGAGCAGAACAAGACCACAGAGUGUGCCCCAUAAAGGAUGUGCAUGUGGAAAAGCUCUGCCGUCUAGAACGAAUGCCAGCUCUUAAGAGUUCUGAUCAAAGUCUGAAGUGGACUGAAGCAGAAAACACUGAACAAGAGCUGGGAUCCACCACAGAUGGGGGUGGCUUCGGCCACUACGGGAGGACUGCCACAGCCACGUGGUGAUGCUGAGAGACUUCCCAGCAAGCAGAGAACAUGCUGGUUCUUGCUCUGGGGUAUGGAAGGCCAUCUCAGUCGAUCAUGCCAAAGACAUCAGGACUUAUUCCUUGUGAAGCCUGGGUGGUAACUGGUAAUGAAGACCGUAACAGCCACAAUCUGUGGUAUGCUUUAAUCUACACAAAAUCUGGGAGCAUAAACAUCACUGAGCAUGCUGGGAUAGGGACUGAGAGUCACGUGCUGAAAGCCAGGCUGUUUCCCAGGGUCCUCUUACAGUUUUCAUGCUGGUUGGAAGUAGAUCAUGAGGUUGAUGGCACUUGUCAUCAUUACUUUACCCUCCUUUUUUGUGUUUGUGCAGAGAACCAUUUGCAAUGUGAAACAGUGCAGGACAUUGCCAAACAAAGCCAACCAAACACCCUGGGUAUGCUGCUUGGAUGAAAGAGCUCUUUAGAAGAUGGACAAAUGGACGCAGGGGACAAAAGAGUAAUGCCAACAAAGUGUGUGUAUACACACAGCCCUCUACACGCUGGAAUCUCAGUCAUAAAGUAGCGUUCUCUUCCUCACCACCGCUUACUAACUCGCUGUUUUCUUUCCAGAAGAAUGAAGGCCUUGACAGAAUGCAAGCGAUGAGUAAUGACUUUGCUUUCUUCCAUUCCAGCUGCCACACAGGCACAUAUGUGAGUCCCUGGCCCUGCAAACUGGAACACUUUAACCUUUUCUUGUGUUCCGUGCCUGUCCUGUCACCUACUGUUGUUGCAGCCAGUGCACUCUUUAGCCAGGUCUGCUUCUCUCAGUAGCUUGGGCAAUUGUAUUUACAGGAAGCAAGAAAAUACACUGAUAAACAGCAGUGUGUGUCUGGGGAUAAUGUCAGCAUUUCAGCCAGAGCCUUGCUAUUCCCUUGGUGUUAUCACUGAUGGAUCCUCUGCCCUUCCUUACAUGUGGGCUUGAGGAGGUGGUUGUUUUGGCUGGAAUUAGAGAGGCACAGGUGGUAUCACCAGCUGUAAAUUGGAGGAGGCACUUCCUGAUUAUGACCACUGCCUACACAUAAAUCACUGCCAAGAGAGGAGCUGGGAAGCGUAGAAGCCUUCUCCUUACUUGGAAAGAGGGCCUCGAGUAUAGUCAUAAUUCCCCUCAUCUUUUUUUUUUUUUUUUCCAUCUAUAGGUUUUGGGGUUCUCAGUGUGCUCUUGGCUUCCCAAAAUGCUGUGACAUGGAAAACCCUCAGCUGAGUUGGACAGAUAGAUAAACCAAGGCAUCGAGUACUUACGCAUCUAACGCUUGGGCACUCAAAUCCUCAUAAAGGAACUGGGAGCUCAGGAGACGCACAUGCAGGAGGCAUUUGAGAGCCAGGACUUCAGCAAAGAUUCAGGUAUUUGCUCAACCACAGCAAAAUGUCAUCCCCUUCAAGUGGUGAAUGAGCCCUUGAUCUCUGCAAGGUCAAGAUUUUUGCCUUCUGGCUUUAGGUGCUAGUGGUGAGAGACCUGUCCAAAGGUGCUGUUUUCUAGUGCUGUUGUCUAGUGCUCAUUUCUCUACCUAUUCACCUGUACACGUGAAGACCUCUGCUGCUGGCCCUUGUCUGCAGGAAGCUUGGUGUGUUGAGUCUCCUCAUCAACCCAUCUGUUGGGGUGACCGUUCAGCCCCUUGCUGGCUCACAGUCUUGCUUUUGGGAUAUUUCUUCCCUUUUACUCUGGAGCAUCUUAAAUGUGGGUCCACUGAAUGUACAGAUUGAGAGCAGGGAAUGAAGGAGACGUGUUGCAGAAUCAACCCACCGACGUGUGCUGCUCACCCACGCACAUGGGGAGAGGGAAAGAUUAAAAGAUUAAAGUUACAAACUGGAAAGCGCCCCAGGCUACCACGGAGAUCCGAGUGACUGCCUGCGAAGCCAAACUCCCACUCUGGAGGUGCCGCUCCACGCUCGCUGUCACUCACUCCACACUUGCUUUCUCCUGCCAUCCCUUCCUGCUACUGCCUUUGCUAUUUUUACAGGCUGAAAAAUUAAGUAAUCAUCUGUUUUGGCCACGAAGGAGGGCCCUGGGCAACUCCUGGUUGUCACUGCAGGGCUCGUGGGCGUAGCCUUCUGCUCCAUCGCUGCACUCCUGUACUUCUAGACCUUGAAGACUCCUCCAUCAGCCUUCUGCUUUGCCCCAUCUGCCCAUAUCACGGCCAGGUUUGGUUCGGAUGCGGCUCAGGACUUGCGUGGGAGGGGCAGCAAUUUGCAGCAGUUAGAAUUUCAGUAAUGACAUAGGGAAGUUUGCAAGGCCUUCAGUGCUUUCUCGCCCCUACAGUGAGGUGCGAAUCAAGGCUUGCUCUACCAAGCUUACAAUUAAAUAUGCCCACAGUAUCAUACUCCUUCCUGUCAUUUGUGAAGAUUUUCUCACUUUCUUUUCUUUCCCUUCGUUAGAGCUGGACAAAGUUUUGGGGCUGAAAAGGCACAGAAGUAAAACUAAGGUCUGGGAGCUCCAGAACAGUUAUUAGCGCAGUGCUUGCGUUGGUAGGCAUGAUGCAAAGAAGGCUGUGGAUGCCCCAUCCCUGGAGGCAUUCUAGGCCGGGCUGGAUGUGGCUCUGGGCAGCCUGGUCUGGUGGUUGGUGACCCUGCACAUAGCAGGGGGAUUGAAACUCGAUGGUCAUUGUGGUCCUUUUCAAGCCGGGCCAUUCUAUGAUAUGAUAUUUUUGUUUGACUGUAGCAGUUAAUCUGAGCCAAAACGAUGAUUUCAUUUAAUUCUUGGAGUAUUGAGCUCUAGAAAUGUUUCUUUUCCAAUUUGCUUUCUGUUACUGUAUUUGAGUUUGGGGGCAC